rnacentral:rRNA from 1 species
AACGAACGCUGGCGGCAUGCCUAACACAUGCAAGUCGAACGAGACCUUCGGGUCUAGUGGCGCACGGGUGCGUAACGCGUGGGAACCUGCCCUUAGGUUCGGAAUAACUCCCCGACAGGGGUGCUAAUACCGGAUAAUGUCUUCGAACCAAUGAUUUAUCGCCUUUGGAUGGGCCCGCGUUGGAUUAGCUAGUUGGUAGGGUAAAAGCCUACCAAGGCGACGAUCCAUAGCUGGUCUGAGAGGAUGAUCAGCCACACUGGGACUGAGACCCGGCCCAGACUCCUACGGGAGGCAGCAGUGGGGAAUAUUGGAAAAUGGGCGAAAGCCUGAUCCAGCAAUGCCGCGUGAGUGAUGAAGGCCUGAGGGUUGUAAAGCUCUUUUAACCGGGAUGAUAAUGACAGUACCGGGAGAAUAAGCCCCGGCUAACUCCGUG